rnacentral:rRNA from 1 species
GGCAUACCCCGGGAACUGGGGAUAAUUCCGGAUAACGCAUAUUUGCUGGAAUGCUUUAUGCGUCAAAAGGAUUCGUCUGCCCAAGGAUGGGUCUGCGGCCUAUCAGGUAGUAGUGGGUGUAAUGUACCUACUAGCCAGCGACGGGUACGGGUUGUGAGAGCAAGAGCCCGGAGAUGGAUUCUGAGACAUGAAUCCAGGCCCUACGGGGCGCAGCAGGCGCGAAAACUUUACAAUGCGGGAAACCGUGAUAAGGGGACACCGAGUGCCAGCAUCAUAUGCUGGCUGUCCGGAUGUGUAAAAUACAUCCGUUAGCAAGGGCCGGGCAAGACCGGUGCCAGCCGCCGCGGUAACACCGGCGGCCCGAGUGGUGAUCGUGAUUAUUGGGUCUAAAGGGUCCGUAGCCGGUUUGGUCAGUCCUCCGGGAAAUCUGAUAGCUCAACUAUUAGGCUUUCGGGGGAUACUGCCAGACUUGGAACCGGGAGAGGUAAGAGGUACUACAGGGGUAGGAGUGAAAUCUUGUAAUCCCUGUGGGACCACCUGUGGCGAAGCGUCUUACCAGAACGGGUUCGACGGUGAGGGACGAAAGCUGGGGGCACGAACCGGAUUAGAUACCCGGGUAGUCCCAGCCGUAAACGAUGCUCGCUAGGUGUCAGGCAUGGCGCGACCGUGUCUGGUGCCGCAGGGAAGCCGUGAAGCGAGCCACCUGGGAAGUACGGCCGCAAGGCUGAAACUUAAAGGAAUUGGCGGGGGAGCACAACAACGGGUGGAGCCUGCGGUUUAAUUGGACUCAACGCCGGACAACUCACCGGGGGCGACAGCAAUAUGUAGGCCAAGCUGAAGACUUUGCCUGAAUCGCUGAGAGGAGGUGCAUGGCCGUCGCCAGUUCGUACUGUGAAGCAUCCUGUUAAGUCAGGCAACGAGCGAGACCCGUGCCCACUGUUACCAGCAUGUCCUCCGGGACGAUGGGUACUCUGUGGGGACCGCCGAUGUUAAAUCGGAGGAAGGUGCGGGCCACGGUAGGUCAGUAUGCCCCGAAUCUCCCGGGCUACACGCGGGCUACAAUGGAUGGGACAAUGGGUCCCUCCCCUGAAAAGGGCUGGUAAUCUCACAAACCCAUUCGUAGUUCGGAUCGAGGGCUGUAACUCGCCCUCGUGAAGCUGGAAUCCGUAGUAAUCGCGUUCAAUAGUCGCG